rnacentral:rRNA from 1 species
UGUUCGGAUUUACUGGGCGUAAAGCGCGCGUAGGCGGACCGCUAAGUCAGGGGUGAAAUCCCAGGGCUCAACCCUGGAACUGCCUUUGAUACUGACGAUCUGGAGAUCGGGAGAGGUUGGUGGAAUUCCGAGUGUAGAGGUGAAAUUCGUAGAUAUUCGGAGGAACACCAGAAGCGAAGGCGGCCAACUGGCCCGAUACUGACGCUGAGGCGCGAAAGCGUGGGGAGCAAACAGG